AUUGAACGCUGGCGGAAUGCUUUACACAUGCAAGUCGAACGGCAGCACGGACUUCGGUCUGGUGGCGAGUGGCGAACGGGUGAGUAAUAUAUCGGAACGUGCCCAGUCGUGGAGGAUAACGUAGUGAAAAUUACGCUAAUACCGCAUACGAUCUAAGGAUGAAAGCGGGGGAUCGCAAGACCUCGCGCGAUUGGAGCGGCCGAUAUCAGAUUAGGUAGUUGGUGAGGUAAAGGCUCACCAAGCCAACGAUCUGUAGCUGGUCUGAGAGGACGACCAGCCACACUGGAACUGAGACACGGUCCAGACUCCUACGGGAGGCAGCAGUGGGGAAUUUUGGACAAUGGACGCAAGUCUGAUCCAGCCAUUCCGCGUGCAGGACGAAGGCCUUCGGUUGUAAACUGCUUUGUACAGAACGAAAAGGUCUCUAUUAAUACUAGGGCUCAUGACGGUACUGUAAGAUAAGCACCGGCUAACUACGU
rnacentral:rRNA from 1 species